rnacentral:rRNA from 1 species
ACGCUCGACACCUACGGGAGGCAGCAGUGAGGAAUAUUGGUCAAUGGGCGCUAGCCUGAACCAGCCAAGUAGCGUGAAGGAUGAAGGCUCUAUGGGUCGUAAACUUCUUUUUAUAUAAGAAUAAAGUGCAGUAUGUAUACUGUUUUGUAUGUAUUAUAUGAAUAAGGAUCGGCUAACUCCGUGCUAGCAGCCGCGGUAAUCUGAGCGGGCUGGCAAGGC